rnacentral:rRNA from 1 species
AUUGAACGCUGGCGGCAGGCCUAACACAUGCAAGUCGAACGGUAACAGGAAUCAGCUUGCUGAUUUGCUGACGAGUGGCGGACGGGUGAGUAAUGUCUGGGAAACUGCCUGAUGGAGGGGGAUAACUACUGGAAACGGUAGCUAAUACCGCAUAACGUCGCAAGACCAAAGAGGGGGACCUUCGGGCCUCUUGCCAUCGGAUGUGCCCAGAUGGGAUUAGCUAGUAGGUGGGGUAAAGGCUCACCUAGGCGACGAUCCCUAGCUGGUCUGAGAGGAUGACAAGCCACAAUGGAACUGAGACACGGUCCAGACUCCUACGGGAGGCAGCAGUGGGGAAUAUUGCACAAUGGGCGCAAGCCUGAUGCAGCCAUGCCGCGUGUAUGAAGAAGGCCUUCGGGUUGUAAAGUACUUUCAGCGGGGAGGAAGGGAGUAAAGUUAAUACCUUUGCUCAUUGACGUUACCCGCAGAAGAAGCACCGGCUAACUCCGUG